UACAGAGGUCUCAAGCGUUGUUCGGAAUCACUGGGCGUAAAGGGUGCGUAGGUGGCGUGGUAAGUCAGAUGUGAAAGCCCGGGGCUCAACCUCGGAAUUGCAUCCGAUACUACCAUGCUAGAGUACUGAAGAGGAAACUAGAAUUCUCGGUGUAGCAGUGAAAUGCGUAGAUAUCGAGAGGAAUACCAAAGGCGAAGGCAGGUUUCUUGGCAGUUACUGACACUGAGGCACGAAGGCCAGGGGAGCAAACGGG
rnacentral:rRNA from 1 species